CCUACGGGUGGCAGCAGUGGGGAAUAUUGGGCAAUGGGCGCAAGCCUGACCCAGCAACGCCGCGUGAAGGAAGAAGGCUUUCGGGUUGUAAACUUCUUUUGUCAGGGACGAAGCAAGUGACGGUACCUGACGAAUAAGCCACGGCUAACUACGUGCCAGCAGCCGCGGCAAUACGUAGGUGGCAAGCGUUAUCCGGAUUUAUUGGGUGUAAAGGGCGUUUAGGCGGGAAUGCAAGUCAGCUGUGAAAACUAUGGGCUCAACCCAUAGCCUGCAUUUGAAACUGUAUUUCUUGAGUGCUGGAGAGGCAAUCGGAAUUCGGUGUGUAGCGGUGAAAUGCGUAGAUAUACGGAGGAACACCAGUUGCGAAGGCGGAUUGCUGGACAGUAACUGACGCUGAGGCGCGAAAGCGUGGGGAGCAAACAGGAUUAGAUACCCGAGUAGUC
rnacentral:rRNA from 1 species